rnacentral:SRP_RNA from 2 species
GAACCAGGAUCCCGCACGGCGGUUAUCUUGUGAACUCCCCCAGGGCAGGAAUGCAGCAAGGGUCAACGAGCUCUACCGGGUGUGUGGGGUCCCCUUUUUCUAUU